AUAUAAGGAACUUUAUAGAGAUUUAUUCCUUAAGGUUUUUUGUGUGUUUAAAACAACAAAGAGGCAAAAGAUAUAUCUCUCUAAAACUACACAAAGGCCGGCCACCUUGAGGGUGUUUUAGCUAACAAUUUUUCACCCUUUUGGUUAUUCCUCCAUCCAUCUCACUACACUAGUGGGUGUGGAUCUUUAGAGGUCUUCUCCUUUGGAGACUAAAGGAGAACCUUGGAGCACUCUUACCAACAAAGUAGAGGAGGCAAGGAGGGAGGCUAGGCUCAAGGAGUUCAAGGAGCAAAGGGCUUGGAGGUGGUCCAUCCUUGGUCUCAAGUCUAGAUCAAGAGGUAUAAGACUAAACCUUCACUUUGUUCUUCUCUAAAAUGUUUUGAUGCAUUAUAUAUAAACCUAUGAACCUUGAAGGGGAUUUGCAUGACUAUAGCUUUGAUAAUUUGUGUUAAAUGCUUCCGCUGCUUCCGUAUAUAAAAUUUGAUUUAUAUAUGCAUGAUAGUCAUUUCGAAAUCCCUAUGUGUAAAACUCAUAAUUUUCCCUUCAAAAAGUUCACAAUUUUUCUAUUUUUAGUGCAUCUGGACAGUUUUUGACAUCAAUAAAUACAAACGAGUAUGUGUUUGACAACCAUUGGUACUUAGGCAAAUAAACCCAUAUAAUGCGUUAAUGGAACCAAAAGAUUAUGUACUCUAGGGGUGGGAAAACAAGUAUAGGAACCGUGGGUCGAGGCGGGUACGGGCCGGUUCCAAAUUUUUAAUAAGAGAAACGAGGUGACGCAGGGCCGGG
rnacentral:lncRNA from 1 species